UGGUAGGAUAGAAAAUAAAAAAGUAAAAUACGAUGGACAUAAACAUAAAUAGUUGAUUUUUGGGGAGACAAGAGAAAUAACCAACAGUCUUCUAUUUAUCCAACUAAACUGAAAUUGGCGCUACAAAUCCACUCUCUUUCACUGACGAACCCGAUCAUCGCCGCUUCGCCUCCCGGAAAACCCUAAAUUUCGAUCAAAACUCAGAAACCUACCGUCGAGGAGCCCGACGCACAGGGCUGAGCUCUUGCUAUUCUUCAUCCUCACCCUCCCGCAAGUCAAGCGUAAGCGGCAGCCCAUGAAGAAGGGAAAAAAGAGAGAGAGGCGUCAGAUUAUAGGGCGGUCGCCGGUCGAGGAACCUGCAUUUCUGAGCCGAGAAGAAAUGAGAUUGCUUUUCUACUGGCUACUGGCUUGAUUGAGCCUUGGUGAGCUCAUUAUUUCUUGAAGGAAUUGUUCUUGAAACAUCAGGCAGUCAAUGAAAACAUCAACCAAGUGGAUCCUUCCUCAAAUGCUCCAUUAUUUCUGCUACUCUUUUAAGCAUGAGUUUAGUUCAAAUAUUUGCUUUUUGUUGGGUAAAUUUUAAAUACUGAUAUUGAAUGACUGAUGGGUUUUAUAA